rnacentral:rRNA from 1 species
CUGGUAGUCCACGCCGUAAACGAUGUCGACUUGGAGGUUGUGCCCUUGAGGCGUGGCUUCCGGAGCUAACGCGUUAAGUCGACCGCCUGGGGAGUACGGCCGCAAGGUUAAAACUCAAAUGAAUUGACGGGGGCCCGCACAAGCGGUGGAGCAUGUGGUUUAAUUCGAUGCAACGCGAAGAACCUUACCUACUCUUGACAUCCAGAGAACUUAGCAGAGAUGCUUUGGUGCCUUCGGGAACUCUGAGACAGGUGCUGCAUGGCUGUCGUCAGCUCGUGUUGUGAAAUGUUGGGUUAAGUCCCGCAACGAGCGCAACCCUUAUCCUUUGUUGCCAGCGGUUAGGCCGGGAACUCAAAGGAGACUGCCAGUGAUAAACUGGAGGAAGGUGGGGAUGACGUCAAGUCAUCAUGGCCCUUACGAGUAGGGCUACACACGUGCUACAAUGGCGCAUACAAAGAGAAGCGACCUCGCGAGAGCAAGCGGACCUCAUAAAGUGCGUCGUAGUCCGGAUUGGAGUCUGCAACUCGACUCCAUGAAGUCGGAAUCGCUAGUAAUCGUGGAUCAGAAUGCCACGGUGAAUACGUUCCCGGGCCUUGUACACACCGCCCGUCACACCAUGGGAGUGGGUUGCAAAAGAAGUAGGUAGCUUAACCUUCGGGAGGGCGCUUACCACUUUGUGAUUCAUGACUGGGGUGAAGU